GUCACACGCACACUCAUGCACGCACCCUGAUUUUCAAUGUCUUUUUCUUCGCGACAGAGUUGGCUGAAGAUGUGAAAUACCGUUUCACAUAGUUACGGACCGGGUUGAUGGCUGGAAAGGACAUUUUCCCUUCGUUAAAGGAUAGAUGGUCCGGUUAGCCACGACCAUUAUCCAUUUCAAAUUCAUCAACUCAAAGACGCUUGUCCGCUCCAUCAAAACUCCGUAAGUUUUCCCUCCAUGUGUAGAUCAACCGUUCCUGCCUGUAAAUCCUGGGUAUGCCCACAUCAUUAAUGAAUAAGAUGUGUAGAAAACUGUUUAGCCAUAGUUAAAGGCCUUUCAUAAAGAGUCUGUCAUGAUUGCCUGUGCCACACGUAUUGCUUGUUACCUAAUACUACUGUUGUACAUUUAAUAUCCACUAGCAGAUUUCGUCGCAUUUGCACAAAUUCGGUCAUGUUACUGUGGUCUUUUUAAAUGUCAGUAAAUAUGUGUGUAAAGUGUAUAUGUUUGUUUCACUGUAGAUUUGUUUAAGCCCUCCUAGAAACACCUAAUUAAAGGCCUUUCAUAAAGAGGCUGUCAUGAUUGCCUGUGCCACAUGUUUAACACGUAUUGCUUGUUACCUAAUACUACUGUUGUACAUUUAAUAUCCACUAGCAGAUUUCGUCGCAUUUGCACAAAUUCGGUCAUGUUACUGUGGUAUUUUUAAAAGUCAAUAAAUAUGUGUGUAAAGUGUACAUGUUUGUUUCACUGUAGAUUUGUUUAAGCCCUCCUAGAAACACCUCAUUUCAUCCCACAGCCUUAAUUAAUAAGCUGUGCAGAAGCUGUUUAGCCAUAAGUAAAGGCCUUUCAUAAAGUGGCUGUCAUGAUAAACCUGAAAUUACCUUUAGGAUCUUUUCUUUGGGGUUCUAAUCUCCCCAGGUGUACAUGCACUGAAAAUCCUUAGGCUGGAGCCAUCUUGAAGCUCUGUGCCUGUACAUAUAAAGAUAACUAAAUAGGAAACUAGGCUGAGAAACAUUAUUUAGAUGGCUGUUUAAUUGUUGUUUAAAGCCUGAAAUGGACACAAUGCCAAGGGACCUUGUUUCUAACACACACACACACAUACAGACACACAUUCCUGCUCCAUAGAUAACAAACAUAAGGGCAAUAAAACUGGGGGGUCAUACCAGGUCCAAAAGUUCAAACACAACAACCACAGUUCAACCAGGCCCCUAGACAUCCAUCAACUGGACUACUUCAAAGGAUGACAUAGAGAUCUGAAAUAACACAAAAUAACACGUGACCACGGGAA